ACGAAUUCAUUUAUCCAAUCAGCUUCGGACUUGGAUCAAGAAUUUUGUGCCCAGUGUUUUACGUGACCGAAAAGGCGUGGAAUUAUUAUCCGUUCACCAUCACUGAAUACUUGGUGAAAAGGAUUGUCCACUGACCUUAGAUUGUCCACUGACCUUGCAUUGUCGAGUUCCAGGCAGGCAAAGGUUGUCAUCACAUCAAAGUAUUUCGUAUCCUGUUUUCCAAUGUUUCUUUGUGCCUCGAUUCUUCAUUUCCAUGCCAACCCGAUAUGAGAAUAACCCAGGCACUAGCGAAAAUUUUCACGCAAACUGUCAGAUGAGAUGCUCAAUCUACUGGAUGUCGACCAUAUCGAUAUCCUAUCCCUAUGGGGUUCCUCUCCAUCCCCACAAGAAAACCCCUGACUUGGGGAAAAUUCCAUUCCCACAAAACCGGCCAAGGCCCCUUAGUCGAGAUUUGGAAGGAGACCUCGGAUCCCAUCAUGAGCUCAUACAAAGCGGUGGAAGUGAGAUUGGAUGUGUGGGGCAUCUAGGGCCGUGUGGAAGAUUUCAUUCAUAUAGUAUGUGUCCAUACUGGGAUUUUCCGCACUCGUAUCCAGCCGAGAGAUUUUGGUAUGGUAUGACCAUUGAAAAUGUCAGAGAAUAUUAAUUGGAAAUGCAAUCGGAAACGAACGCUCGGAUGUAAGACGAUAUAAAGGAAGAGCACGACGAGUUCGAUUUCUCCCAACCUCCCUCGGGAAAGGUUACGUCAAGUACUCCAGUCUCCUCGAAAGAAUGGUUCUCUUGGUUCUGAUGCCCCUGGUACCUCGCUCACACUUUAAGUCACAUUCAACGAUCAACCAA